CCAAGCCAAAACCAUGGCGCUACUACUAUGGCAAACGCUAAAAGAAGCGAUACAUGCUUACACAGGUCUCUCCCCGGUGGUCUUCUUCACCGCCCUCGCUCUCGCCUUCGCCAUUUACCAAGUCGUCUCAGGCUGGUUCGCUUCGCCUUUCGAUGAUGUUCGCCGACAUCAGAGGGCUAGAUCGUCGGCUGCAGAGGAAGCACCACCGAUUCCUCAGCCUGUUCAGGUCGGCGAGAUCACAGAGGAGGAACUUAAGCAGUACGAUGGCUCCGAUCCUCAAAAGCCCC
rnacentral:lncRNA from 1 species